rnacentral:rRNA from 1 species
GAUGAACGCUGGCGGCGUGCCUAAUACAUGCAAGUCGAGCGAACAGACGAGGAGCUUGCUCCUCUGACGUUAGCGGCGGACGGGUGGGUAACACGUGGAUAACCUACCUAUAAGACUGGGAUAACUUCGGGAAACCGGAGCUAAUACCGGAUAAUAUAUUGAACCGCAGGGUUCAAUAGUGAAAGACGGUUUUGCUGUCACUUAUAGAUGGAUCCGCGCCGCAUUAGCUAGUUGGUAAGGUAACGGCUUACCAAGGCAACGAUGCGUAGCCGACCUGAGAGGGUGUUCGGCCCCACUGGAACUGAGACACGGUCCAGACUCCUACGGGAGGCCGCCGUAGGGAAUCUUCCGCAAUGGGCGAAAGCCUGACGGAGCAACGCCGCGUGAGUGAUGAAGGUCUUCGGAUCGUAAAACUCUGUUAUUAGGGAAGAACAAAUGUGUAAGUAACUAUGCACGUCUUGACGGUACCUAAUCAGAAAGCCCCGGCUAACUACGUG